AUGAUAAAACAGACUUUUGGUGGAGGAACCAAACUGUCUGUGGGCCGUCUCACCCGGCCCAGUGUGACGGUGCUGCCCCCCUCCAGUGUGGACCUGCAGCAGGAGAAGGUCACACUCGUGUGUGUGGCCAACAAGGGCUUCCCCUCGGACUGGAGGCUGACCUGGAAGGUUAAUGGGAACAGCUGGACCUCGGGGGAGAGUCACAGUGCUGAUGUUCUGCACACAGACGGCCUCUACAGCUGGAGCAGCACGCUGAGCCUUCACUCGGAGCAGUGCAGGAACAAGCUGGUGACCUGUGAGGCCUUCAAGGAGAACCAACCUACUGUGGUGAGCACAGUGAACAUAGAGCAGUGCUCAGAGCUGUGAGCUCACACACACUUUACUCAGCUCAUAUUCUACUUCUUCACUGUGCUUCAAAUGUCCUACUUUAAAUAAAAGCUUUUGUUCAACAAUGAAA